rnacentral:rRNA from 1 species
UGGGGAAUAUUGCACAAUGGGCGCAAGCCUGAUGCAGCCAUGCCGCGUGUGUGAAGAAGGCCUUCGGGUUGUAAACCUCUUUUAGUAGGGAAGAAGCGAAAGUGACGGUACCUGCAGAAAAAGCACCGGCUAACUACGUGCCAGCAGCCGCGGUAAUACGUAGGGUGCGAGCGUUGUCCGGAAUUAUUGGGCGUAAAGAGCUCGUAGGCGGUCUGUCGCGUCUGCUGUGAAAACCCGAGGCUCAACCUCGGGCCUGCAGUGGGUACGGGCAGACUAGAGUGCGGUAGGGGAGAAUGGAAUUCCUGGUGUAGCGGUGGAAUGCGCAGAUAUCAGGAGGAACACCGAUGGCGAAGGCAGUUCUCUGGGCCGUAACUGACGCUGAGGAGCGAAAGCGUGGGGAGCGAACAGGAUUAGAUACCCUGGUAGUCCACGCCGUAAACGUUGGGCGCUAGAUGUGGGGACCAUUCCACGGUUUCCGUGUCGCAGCUAACGCAUUAA